AGGUCAGCCACCUGCAGCCAAGGAGAGAGGCCUCUGAGGAAACCAACCCUGCCAGCACUUUGAUCUUGAACUUCCAGCCUCCAGAACUGUGAGAAAGUAUAUUCCUGUUGUUUAAGCCACCCAGUCUAUGGCAUUUUGUUUUGGCAGCUUUAGCAGACUAAUAUACUUCCCCAUUCCCCCACAGUGCUUCCUGGGGUCAAUUCUCAGAUAAAUGAUUUGCACUUUAAUCCUUAUCUCAGGGGCCAGGUGGGAGGGGGCUCACGCCUGUAAUCCCAGCACUUUGGGAAGCCGAGGUGGGCAGAUCACCUGAGGUCAGGAGUUCAAGAGCAGCCUGACCAACAUAGUGAAACAUCGUCUCCACUAACUUUACAAAAUGUAGCUGGGUGGGGCGGCACAUUGCUGUAGUCCCAGCUACUCAGGAGGCUGAGGCAGGAGAAUCCCUUGAACCCGGGAGGUGGAGGUUGCAGUGAACUGAGAUCGUGCCACUGCACUACAGCCUGGGUGACAGAGUGACUUCGUCUAAAAAAAAAAAAAUUAUCUCAGGAAACCAACUCGCAGACCAACAACGCAUAUAUGGUGGGACAUAGACCCCAAGUAAGAGUGAAGCGAAGACUCAACUUUAACCACCACCCUCUAAGUUUCUUUUGAGGAGCUUGGAGAACGUCACUCCCUGUGGGUCUAAGUGGUACAGGCGCUAAAAAAUUAUUUAGGCAGAUAGUGAGGGUAAGGAAGUCCUCGGCUGUUUCCCUUUUAACAAAAAGCAGUCCCUAAAUCAUUUAUUUUCUAACAAAGAGCAGCCUGUAAAAUCGAGCUGCAGACAUAGAUAAGCAAGCUGGAAGCUUGCAUGGGUGAAUGCAGCAGCUGUGCCAAUAGGAAAAGGCUACGUGGCGGCCAGGCAUGUUCAACAUGGCGGCUCCAUCUUCCCUUUUCUUUGUCAACUAGGUGUACAGUAAGGAACCGACAACAUCACACCGGCCAGGUAGAGAAGCCAUUUGCAUAAUAGAAGAUUAGGGUGGGGUGGCCAGCUUCUUUGCGCGCUUUGUAAACAUCACACCUAGUCCACCAAUCUUUGGGCCCUAUGUAAAUUAGACAACACCUCCUCAAGCCAGUCUAUAAACCCUCCCCUCCCCGCACAUGCAUUUCACCGCAAAACCCAAAGACCCACUUAGGUGUCCCCUCUCUCCGCAGAAGAGAGAGCUUUUCCCUUUCUCUCUGUUAAACCUCUUCUCUUAAACUCACUUCUUGCGUGUCCUCGUCCUCGAUUUCCUUGGCGUAAGACGACGAACCUCAGGCAUUUACCCCAGACAACGAAGGUGCUUCAUAAGGUCAUGCAGCUGGGUCAACAUAGGACUGUGUAGCCAAGAGCUACAGGAUGGAUUGCUGAGGCCAGGGAGAUUGAAAGGAAGUCACAGCCCAAUCUCAGAGGGAUCCACGGAGCCAGCGAAAGCUAAGGCGGGACUUACCCAACAGAGGGUCCUGGCCCAGUCACCCAGUGGCACAACCCAACUGGGAGAUCUGAGCAUCUACCAACUGUGGCCACCAGUGAGAUGGUGUCAUUGUCUGGGAGGCCAGCAGAAGUCUCAGUGAUCGGGCAGGACAAAGGACAUUUCUGCAGAGAAUACUGAAGGUCCAGGAGACAGCACAGUGGGACAUAUGUGGGCCCCUGCCCCAUCAUUAGGAGGAAGUGUAGGCUUUUCUGAGGACCUGGAUGCCAUACCAUCUUGAGACAGAGAAUGAGGAACCAACCCUUGACAAGAGAGAGAUGGCCCUGGUAGAGAAUUUGAACCUUGAAUUGGAUUGAAUAUUUAUCCAAAAGAAAUUGAACCAGCACUAGAGAGACUGUUUUGAACUAGAAGUAACCAAGUUACCUUAACUGGAAGUUAGGAUUUUUCCACCCCUGACAUCAGUGGGACAAGGGCACAUGAGCAAGAUAUUUACGGACAAAGAAGAACGUUCAUGUUUUGUACACCUGCUUUGUAGUAUGUUGCAGAUACCGUUGGUUCCCCUGAUUUCAGGUGUUCUCGUUCUUUCUGUACAGUCACUUGCUCAGGGCAAAUGGUCCUCUCCUGCAUGACUCAGAAGCACAUACUGAUUAUUCUAAACUGGUCUUCAUGCCCCGUUCCCUUGUCAGUGAUGUAGUUAGGCAAAGGAUUAUGUAACAAUUCUGGCUAUGAGACAUUGAAACUUCUACUGUGGGGCAUCUGGGAAGAUUUUUCUCAUUGAAAAGAAGAGACGCAGGGUGUGGAGACUCAUGCCUGUAAUCCGAGCCCUUGGGAGGCCCAGGAGGGAGGGUCACCUGAGUCCAAGAGCUCAAGGCCAGUUCGAGCAACAUACCAAGGCUGCAAUAAACAAGCAAACAAACAAACAAACAUUAGCUGGGCACGGUAGUGCACACCUGUAGUCCCAGCUACUCAGGAGGCUGAAAUGGGAGGAUUGCUUGAGCCCAGGAGUUUGAGGCUGCAGUGAGCUAUGAUUGCACCACUGCACUUCAGCCUGGGCAACAGAGCGAGAUCCUGUCUCUAUAAAAAAAUUUUAAAAAAAGGAAGAAAAGAAAAGAAGAGACACACGUGGAAGAAACAGUCUCUAUUCUGAUGCAAGUAAUGACUGGAACUGUGGCAGACAGCUUGGAACCAUGAGAGGAGUUAACUGAGGGCUAUCAGGGAAACUAGAAGAAGCCUGGGUCCUUGAGGAGGCAGACUACUAAAUGGACCAUCGUCCCUUCACCCUUUUUGUUAUGUGAGAUAAUAAACUCUCUAAUUUAAAUCUACUUGAGAUGAAUAUCUGAUACUUGUAGCCAAAAUCAUCCUUAAUGGGACAGAGUGUGGGUAAAUUAUCAACCUUGCUAGCCUUGCCUCAUAAUUUUUGAAUUUAUUUUUAUCUUUUAAUUUUGUUUAUUUUUUAUUUUUAAAGUAGAGACAGGAUCUCAUUAUGUUGCUCAGGCUGGUCUCGAAUCCCUGGCCUCAAGGGAUCCUCCUGCCUCAGCCUCCUAAAGUGCUGAGAUUACAGGUAUGAGCCCCUAUGCCAGGCCAUUGCUUUGCCAUUGUAUCCAUGUGAUUGCAAAAAAGAAAAUCGUGCUAAUAGUCAUUAGCUUUGAAAGACACUUGGAAUUUCUUCCUUCAAGCGAGCUUUAUUCCCAAACUGUUGAACCCUCUGGGUUUGACAGCAGGAUCUACUUCACAUGGUAGCAUCUCCUUCUAUUUGCCUUCAAGACAUUUCCUAAGGGAAGAGAUGAAGACACACUUGUAACGUGAACAAAAUAAUCCUUUUUCCUUUUAAAAAUGUAUGAUUAAAAUGUAAAAUAUAUAUAUAUAUUCUUAAAUGUAAAAUAUAUAUAUAUAUCUUCUAGAGUUGCCUGGAAAGUGAGCUGAGAGCAGUUAAACAUCAAACCCACUGCUGCUUUCCAGCUUUAACCAGAAUCACCAUUGUCUUUCCCUAUGAAAGAAAGGAAAUCUUAGAACUUAAAAGGAUUUCAAGAAGAACUGAAUUUUAACCACUGAGAUGACCAGAGAUGUAAGGCUCACACUGACUGAAGCAGUAUAAUUUGGCUGUCUUUUUAACAUUCAGAAUUCUCUCUGACUCUCCAAAAUUGCAUCUACUUUGAUGAGCUUAUUUUUUUCCUCAACCAAAUUACAUUUCUUGGAGUUCACCUGAUACAUCAUGCCUACUUACUUUUUUUUUUAGAUGGAGUCUUGCUCUGUCACCCAGGCUGGAGUGCAGUGGUGCAAUCUCGGCUCAUUGCAACCUCUGCCUCCCAGGUUCAAGUGAUUCUCCUGCCUCAGCCCCCCAAGUAGCUGGGAUUACAGGUGCGUGCCACCACGCCCAGCUAAUUUUUGUAUUUUUAGUAGAGACAGGGUUUCGCCAUGUUGGUCAGGCUGGUCUCGAACUCCUGACCUCAAGUGACCCACCUGCCUUGGCCUCCCAAAGCGCUGGGAUUACAGGGGUAAGCCACCAUGUCCAGCCCUGCCUACUUACUUUGAACAAAUUAUUUCAGGCUAAUUUACUAGCUGGAGAGAAAGAGGGAGGGAAGCAGGGAGGAAGCAAAGAUAGAGGGAGAGAAAGAGAGGGAGACAGAGAGGAAGAGGGAGAGGGAGAGGAGAGAGAGAGAAAGAAUGAAUUGUGUUCUCCCAAAAUUAGUAUGUUGAAGUCUUAAUAUCCCAGUACCUCAGACUAUGACUGUAUCUGUAGAUAGGGCUUUUGAAAAGGUGAUUAUGUUUAAAUGAGGCCAUUGGGGUGGGCCCUAAUCCAGUCCAACUGUUGUCAUUGUAAGAAGAAGAGAUUAGGACACAGAGAUACCAGGCAUGUGCGUGCCCAGACAGACAACUAUGUGAAGAGACAACAAUAGGUCAGCCAUCUGCAAGCUGAGGAGAGAGGCCUCAGAGGAAACCAACCCUGCCGGCACCUUGAUCUUGGAGUUCCAGCCUCCAGAACUGUGAGAAAAUGUAUUCCUGUUGUUGAAGCCAUUUCUGUUGUUCUGUGGCAUUUUGUUAUGGCAGCCCUAGCAAACUAAUAUGAUAAUUAACUCUUCCAAGUGCUGUUUCCAUUACAAAGUAUCCCAGAAUUUUAUAUUGGUGAAUCUGUGUUCCUCAGGCCAUGUCUUCCCUGUUGGAAAUGCUGUUAUUAUGUCCCAAGGUGACUUCAAGGAGUGGGUUAGAGGCUGAGACAGAGGGUGUGAGAUCGUCACUACUGUAACCUUGCUUUGUUCAGUAUGAACAUGCUCAGAUAUUCUCUGUUUUGUAUUGGGAGAUCGGGAAAGGAUUUAUUGAAAAAAUGUUUCCAUUAGCAAAUGAAGUUUGAAGGCAACUACCGUCUACAAGAGCAAACAAAUGCAUAAAAUUCAAAUAUUAUUUUGUCCCAACCUCAGUGUCAUGAGGGUCUCUUAUACAGAAUAGUAGAUGAGAAUAAAAUUUGAAUUGAUAAUACUGGAAUAGAGUAGUCAUUAUGCAAUGUAACAAACCUCAAAUAUUCAGUGGUUUAACACUAUAGAUGUUUAUUUACCACUCAUUCAAUGUAUGUGUUCCUUGUUAGCAGUAGUUUUCCUUGUAGUCAUUCAGGAAUCCAGGCAUAUUAGUUAUCUAUUUCUGUGUACCCCAUAAAAACCAUUUAUUAUUGCACACUUUCAGAGGGUCAGUAAUUUGGGAGUGGCUUAGCUGGGGUGUUCUGACCAGAGUCUCUCUUGAGGUUGUAGUCAAGAUGUUGGCUAGGGUUGCCAUCAUCUGAAAGCUUGACUGGGACUGUAUCCACUUUCAAGAUGGCGCACUUACUUGGCUGUUGGCAGGAAGCCUCAAUGACUUAUCAUGUGGUCUUCUCCACAGUGCUGCUUGAGCAUCCACACAACAUGGCGCUAGCUUCCCCCAGAGUGAGUAAUCCAGAAUGAAGAAGACAGAAACCACAAUAUCCUUUAUGAACUGGCCUUAUAAGUAAUAUUUUGUCAUUUCCAUAAAGUCCUAUUGGUUACACAAGACUGCCGUAUUCAAUAUAAGAGUGACAACACAUGGGGAUAAAUACUUGGAGGUGUAAAUCAUUGGGAACCAUCCUGGAAGUUGCCUACAAUACUAGGAUCUAUGGCUACAAUUCCCUGGGUCUUGGCUUCAAGACAGAGAAAAGGGAAAGAACAUGAAACAGCCCCAUGUGGUUUUUGUUUUUUUUUUAAUGGACAAGAGUAAGAAAUGGUGAACAUUUCUUCUACUCAUAUUCUACAGUUAGAAUUUGGUCACAUAAUGUAUCUAACUAUGAAGGUAGCUAGGUAAUAUCAUCUCUUGUUGGGAGGGUAGCUGGGAAUACCUCUAUACAAUGGAAGGAAGAGCAUGAACUUUUGGUGGAGAGAUAAUGCUCUCUGCCAUGAUAAAAUGAAAAAAAUAACAUAUGCAGAAUGGUCAACAUAACAGCAUGAAGCAAAUGCACAAUGAAUGAUAAUCAUAAUAUAGUGCUCUUUUGAUAAUCUAGUGCAUACCCAGAACCUGGGAGGUAUUUGGUUUUAAUACAUGUUUGUUGUAUGAAUACGUGAGUUAAGGUAAUGGAUGCAAAAAUGGUAUAAAUAGGAGGAAUUAUAAUUGAUAUUUCUUGAGUUAGCAUGUUUCAUUGGCUAUCUUUAUGGAGGUCCAGACCCUCCUCCGAAGGUGGAUAUUACUGUUCCGAUUUCAAUUGGUCAAAUAGAGACCAAGAGACUUUAGGCAACUUGUUUUAGAUUUGGCACUGAAUGGCGGGAAAGUGCAGAUUUUCUGAGUACUAUGUCUGGGCUCUUUGCUAUAAGCACUAUUGAUUUGAAUGGAUAAGAACAGAAAAGUCCUUUGCUCAGAGGAGAAUCAGGGCCACUGUAUCAGUCAGGGUCCAAUCAAGAGGCAGAAACUAUACCAGUUAUUUAAUUUCAUUUAUUUAUUUAUUAUUAUUUUUUAGAGAUGUGGUCUUGCUGUGUUGCUCAGGCUGUUCUCGAACUCCUGGGCUCAAGCAAUCCACCUGCCUUGACCUCCCAAACUGCUGGGAUUACAGGUGUGAGCCACUGUGCCUGGCCCCGUACCAGUUAUUUUAACAGAGAGAAUUUAGUAUGGCCCAGGCGCAGUGGUUCAAGCCUGUAAUCCCAGCACUUUGUGAGGCUGAGCAGGGAGGAUCACUUGGACCCAGGAGUUUGAGACCAGCCUGGGCAACAUAUUGAGAGUCCACUUAAGAAAAAGAAUUUAAUAUAAAGAACUUUUUUCUUUUCUUUUUUUUUUUUUUGAGAUAGAUGGAGUCUCACUCUGUUGCCCAGGCUGGAGUGCUGUGGCGUGAUCCCAGCUCACCGCAACAUACGCCUCCUGGAAUCAAGCACCUCUCCCGCCUCAGCCUCCGGAGCAGCUGGGAUUACAGGCACUCGCUAACACGCCUGGCUAAUUUUUGUAUUUUAGUAGAGGCAGGGUUUCACCAUGUUGACCAGGCUGGUCUCAAACUGCUGACCUCAAGUGAUCCCCUGUCCUCGGGCUCCCAAAGUGCUGGGAUUACAGGCAUGAGCCACCACGCCUGGCCGAGAAUUGUUAACUAGGAAUCAAGUUGAUAACCAGGCAACUAAAAAGGAAAAAAAAACAACAAAACAAAACCAACCCAACAACAAUAUUAAUGUAUCACAGAAGAAGCAACUGAAGGAAACAGCUAUACUCAGAGGUCUGGGGGAACAAUGAGAAAAGGUUGGCAUUAACACUUAGAAUCAGCCAAGUGCAGUGGCUCAUAUCUGUAAUCCCAGAGACUCAGGAGACCAAGGUGGGAGGAUUGCUUGAAGCCAGGAGUUUGAGACUAGACUGGGCAACAUAGUGAGACCCUGUCUCUACAAAACAUAAUAAAAUUGGCCAGGCAGAGUGGCAUUCACCUGUGGUCCCAGCUACUCGGGAGGUUGAGGUAGGAGGAUCACUAGAGCCCAGUUACAGUGAGUAUGACUCACUGUAACUACACUCCACUACACUCCAGCCUGGGAGACAGAGUGAGACCCUGUCUCAAACAAACAAACAAACAAACCAAAAAAUCACUAGAAUAAUAGGAGAAAAGUGCCCUGCAAACUGAAACUCAGAUCUCUAAGGAGGGACGGGGGUUGGAGUCUUUGAGGGGUGCAAUUAGACUGGUUCUGCCAGUGUUAGGAAAACUGCAAACUGGAUUGAGAUGCUGCUAUGGGAAGGAACUGCCAUUGCAGGAGAAAGGAAGCCUUGCUAGGAGAGUGUUCACAGGAACAGAAAGAGCAAGUUCCUUUUUCCUCCAGCCUUGCAGUUCCCCUCUAACACCCCCAUGGGUAGAACCUCACAGGAAGCAGCUGGAACAGCAGAAAUAUGCUUUUCCCAAUUCCAACUCUUGUAUCACAAAGCAGAAUACAGAAGGUUGGGUUUGGAGUUGAGAGAUAACAACUAAAUAAUAGCUGGCACAAGGCCCACCUGAUCAGAAAUUAAUCUCACCUCCUUGGGGAUAAGGGCUUUGGGUGGGAGGAAAGGAGGCUCUUGAACUCAUGGGCAUUGAGCACGUGACUAGUUGUCUUAGAGAAAAUGUGCCACCCUGCAGGGCCGCCUGAAAGCUUGUACAAGUGCCUGAGGAAAGCCGGAUUUGGCAGGCUGCAACCACGGUGGAUGACAGCUGAAGGAGAAUUACAGCAGCAGCAGUUAAGUAGAAGAUGUUCACACUUCCUCGCUCUGCAUCUUUCUUCCUGGAGCCCAACACCUCGGAGGAGAAUGGGAAACCCAGAAGAAGGAGUGGGAAGUAGGGUUGCCACAUAAAAUAUAGGACUCUCAGUUACAUUUGAAUUUCAGAUAAGCAGCAGAUUAUUUCUUAGUAUAAGUAUGUGCCAGUAUGUGUGUAUGUGCACACAUAUGUGCACAUGUAUGCAUGCAUCAGCUAGAUUCUGCAACCAUCAGAGAAAUAGACAAAGGUCCUUUUGACCAGUGGUCAAACUGAGCUAUGAGGAGAAGAUCUUGAAAUUGCAUGUGAUAUUGAAGCUUUAAACUUACUGAGUUGCUUGUGUUAGGCUUUUAAAUACCGUAAUGGGACUAAAAACUAUGUUUCUAAGAGAGAGGAAUAUUUGGGAGUACAGCUGACCCUUGAACAAUGCAAGGCUUAGAGGCAUUGUCAAAAAUCCACAUGUAACUUUUGACUCCACAAACAUUUAACUAUUUUUCUUGUCUUUUUUCUUUUUUUUUUUUUGAGAUGGAGUCUCACUCUGUCUCCCAGGCUGGAGUGCAGUGGGGUGAUCUCAGCUCACUGCAACCUUCACCUCCCAGGUUCAAGCAAUUCUCAAGCCUCAGCCUCCUGAGUAGCUGGGAUUACAGGUGUGCACAAAGAUGCCUGGCUAAUUUUUGUAUUUUCAGUAGAGAUGGGGUUUCACCAUGCUGGCCAGGCUGGUCUUGGACUCCUGACCUCACGUGAUCUGCCCACCUUGGCCUCCCAAAGUGCUGGGAUUACAGGCAUGAGCCACGGCAUCUGCCCAAAAACUGAACUAUUAGUAGCCUACUGUUGACUGGAAGUCUUACUGAUAACAUAGUCAAUUAACACAUGUUUUGUGUUAUAUGUAUUAUAUACUAUAUUCUUACAAUAAAGCAAGCUAGAGAAAAUAGAAUAUUAAGAAAAUCAUAAGGAAAAUAUAUUUAGGAUUCUUUUUUUUUUGAGAUGGAGUCUUGCUGUGUCACCCAGGCUGGAAUGCAGUGGUCAGCCUUCCAACGUGCUGAGAUUACAGGCGUGAGCCACUAUGCCCGGCCAUAUUUACUAUUCAUUAAGUGGAAGCGGAUCAUCAUAGAUGACUUCAUCCUCAUCCUCUUCACACUGAAUAGGGUGAAGAGGAGGAGGAAGAGGAGGGGUUGGUCUCACUGUCUCAAGGGUGGCAGAGGCAGAAGAAAAUCCAGGUAGAAGUGGACCCAAGCAGUUCAAAUCCAUGCUGUUCAGGGGUCAACUGGGUCAACUGUGUAGUUAAAGGUAGUGAGUAGUUGGAGAAAAAUGAAACUGCUUUCGUGUUUAUACCUUCACUGAGUUCAGACCUCGUAAUAAACUGGGUAUCUGUAUGUGUGACAAACAAUAGAGGAGAUGUGUGUGCAGGGUGUUCAAGGGGCUUUUGCAUCUUUGCUGGUGAUCACAAAUAGGGCUUUAAUUCUUGGACUUGAAGAGCUGCAGGAGCCAUUGAAAGGAUACAUGGAGCUAGUUGAAUACCACAUUAUCAUUUAGCAAGUGAUAUUUAGCUCUAUUCCUGUGGAUGAACCCUGAUUAGGAUCUUAAGUUUGUAUGUUGUUGGAGAUUAUUCUUGUUUGUCUUGGAAAUGAACAUUCAUUCAUUCGUUCUGGUGCCUAGCAUAGACAAUAAAUCACAAUUCAAAUAAUGAAAAAUUAUAUAUUUAUUUAUUAAGCAUCUACUGCAUGUAGGUUCUGUGUUAGAUGCACAAAAAUGAAUACCAUAAAAUCCUUUACUAAAACGCCAUUCCUGUCUUUGAGUGGAAAAUGUAGCAGCUACGGGAAUUAAGUUAUAUGGUAGCAUGUGUGGUUACCUACUUGACGGAGACAGAAUCCACAUUAUCAGGUGUGGUCAGAUGAGGGAUUCUCUGCCUGGAGAAGUUGUCAUGGACAAGGUAGGAUUUAAUUUAGGUUGUAAAAGAAUACCAGGAUUUAGGGACUCCUAAAGACAGAGACUGUAUAUCCCUCAUCAGAUCAGCCACUCUUUUCUUUUUUUUUUUUUUUUUUUUUGAGACAGUUUCGCUCUUGUUGCCCAGGCUUGAUUGCAAUGGUGCGAUCUCGGCUCACUGCAACCUCCACCUCCUGGGUUCAAGCGAUUCUCCUGCCUCAGCCUCCCGAGUAACUGGACUACAGGCGCCUGCCACCACACCCAGCUAAUUUUUUGUAUGUUUAGUAGAGGUGGGGUUUCACUAUGUUGGCCAGGCUGGUCUCGAACUCCUGACCUCAGACAAUCCCCCCGCCUCGGCCUCCCAAAGUGCUGGGAUUACAGGCGUGAGCCACUGUGCCCAGCCAACCAGAUCAGCCAUUCUAAGGCCAAGAGUUGCAUUACUCUUUUCUCUGUUUCUUGGAAACAUGACUGGAGGACUUGCUGUAAAAAAUAUUAAGACUUAUUAUGAUAAAGCUAUGGUAAUAACAAGGUGUAGUGUUAGAAUGAACCUGGGCAACAUGGCAAAAUCUUGUCUGUGAAAAAUAUCAAAAAUUAGGUCAGGUGCGGUGGCUCACGCCUGUAAUCCCAGCACUUUGGGAGUCUGAGG
rnacentral:lncRNA from 10 species